AACCCUCUUUCAGCAGGGACGAAGCGCAAGUGACGGUACCUGCAGAAGAAGCACCGGCCAACUACGUGCCAGCAGCCGCGGUAAUACGUAGGGUGCGAGCGUUGUCCGGAAUUACUGGGCGUAAAGAGCUCGUAGGCGGUUUGUCGCGUCGUCUGUGAAAACCCGCAGCUCAACUGCGGGCUUGCAGGCGAUACGGGCAGACUUGAGUACUGCAGGGGAGACUGGAAUUCCUGGUGUAGCGGUGAAAUGCGCAGAUAUCAGGAGGAACACCGGUGGCGAAGGCGGGUCUCUGGGCAGUAACUGACGCUGAGGAGCGAAAGCGUGGGUAGCGAACAGGAUUAGAUACCCUGGUAGUC
rnacentral:rRNA from 1 species